GGAUAACCUACCCUUAGGACCGGGAUAACCUUGGGAAACUGAGGCUAAUACCGGAUAGGCAAUUUUUCCUGUAAUGGUUUUUUGUUUAAAUGUUUUUUCGCCUAAGGAUGGGUCUGCGGCCGAUUAGGUAGUUGGUUAGGUAAUGGCUUACCAAGCCGUUGAUCGGUACGGGUUGUGAGAGCAAGAGCCCGGAGAUGGAACCUGAGACAAGGUUCCAGGCCCUACGGGGUGCAGCAGGCGCGAAACCUCCGCAAUGUGAGAAAUCGCGACGGGGGGAUCCCAAGUGCCAUUCUUAACGGGAUGGCUUUUCAUUAGUGUAAAAAGCUUUUGGAAUAAGAGCUGGGCAAGACCGGUGCCAGCCGCCGCGGUAACACCGGCAGCUCUAGUGGUAGCAACUUUUAUUGGGCCUAAAGCGUCCGUAGCCGGUUUAAUAAGUCUCUGGUGAAAUCCUGUAGCUUAACUGUGGGAAUUGCUGGAGAUACUAUUAGACUUGAGACCGGGAGAGGUUGGAGGUACUCCCAGGGUAGAGGUGAAAUUCUGUAAUCCUGGGAGGACCGCCUGUUGCGAAGGCGUCUAACUGGAACGGUUCUGACGGUGAGGGACGAAAGUUAGGGGCGCGAACCGGAUUAGAUACCCGGGUAGUCCUAACUGUAAACGAUGCGGACUUGGUGUUGGGGUGGCUUUGAGCUGCUCCAGUGCCGAAAGGGAAGCUGUUAAGUCCGCCGCCUGGGAAG
rnacentral:rRNA from 1 species